CCCCCAGUGCCCCCUCGCCUACUCCGCCCGUCUGCAAACUGAACACAACUCCGCGGCCCCGCGGGACCCCCAGCCACGCAAGGCAGAGACAGACAGACUUUUCUCCUGGGGAUUCCUUCCUCCCCACUUGGGAGUUGCUGGAAAAAGGAAACAACCAUCACCACACAAAAAAGCGCUGCAGGGCUGAAAGCCUGUACCACCAGGCACACCAUGGAGAAAGGUGGGAACAUACAGUUGGAGAUCCCUGACUUUAGCAACUCAGUCCUGAGCCACCUCAACCAGCUGCGCAUGCAGGGUCGUCUCUGUGAUAUUGUGGUCAAUGUGCAAGGACAGGCUUUUCGGGCUCACAAAGUUGUGUUGGCUGCCAGCUCUCCCUAUUUCCGGGACCAUAUGUCCUUGAAUGAGAUGAGCACUGUCUCCAUAUCAGUCAUCAAGAAUCCUACUGUUUUUGAGCAGCUCCUUUCAUUUUGUUACACUGGGCGGAUAUGUCUGCAACUGGCAGAUAUCAUCAGCUACCUAACAGCUGCCAGUUUCCUACAGAUGCAGCACAUCAUAGACAAAUGUACACAGAUCCUGGAGGGUAUACAUUUCAAGAUUAAUGUAGCAGAAGUUGAGGCAGAAUUAGGCCAGACAAGGACAAAGCACCAGGAGAGACCCCCAGAAUCUCACAGGGUUACUCCAAAUCUAAACCGCCCCCUUAGCCCACGUCACAAUACACCAAAGGGGAGCCGAAGAGGCCAAGUUAGUACGGUGCUGGACAUCAGGGAGCUAAGUCCCCCUGAAGAAUCAACCAGCCCUCAGAUAAUUGAACAGAGUUCUGAUGUGGAGAGCCGGGAGCCCAUUCUUCGGAUUAACCGAGCAGGACAGUGGUAUGUGGAGACUGGGGUGGCUGACCGGGGAGGUCGAAGUGAUGAUGAGGUGAGAGUUCUUGGAGGAGUGCGAAUCAAAACUGAGAAUCUGGAGGAGUGGCUUGGGACGGAGAAUCAGCCCUCUGGAGAAGAUGGGAGCAGUGCUGAGGAGGUUGCCGCCAUGGUGAUCGAUACAACAGGCCAUGGGUCAGGAGGACAAGAGAAUUAUGCCUUGGGGUCUUCAGCACCCAAGGCCACUCGGCCAACCAGCAGUGAAAUGGACAGAUUUAGCCCUUCUGGCAGUGUUGUCACCCUGACUGAGCGACACCGAGCCCGAAGUGAAUCUCCUGGGAGAAUGGAUGAGCCUAAGCAACCCAACUCCCAGGUUGAAGAGUCAGCAGUGAUCGGAGUAAGUGGUUAUGUAGAAUAUCUUCGUGAGCAAGAAGUAUCGGAGAGGUGGUUCCGGUACAAUCCCCGCCUCACCUGCAUCUACUGCGCCAAAUCCUUCAACCAGAAGGGCAGCCUGGACCGCCAUAUGCGCCUGCACAUGGGGAUCACACCUUUUGUCUGCCGUAUGUGUGGCAAGAAGUAUACCCGCAAAGAUCAGCUGGAGUAUCACAUCCGCAAGCACACAGGCAACAAACCCUUCCACUGUCACGUUUGUGGCAAAAGCUUCCCUUUCCAGGCCAUCCUGAACCAGCACUUUCGCAAGAAUCACCCGGGCUGCAUGCCUCUGGAGGGGCCUCAUAGCAUCUCCCCUGAGACAACAGUCACAUCACGGGGACAGGCGGAGGAAGAAUCACCCCCACAGGAAGAGACAGUUGCCACGGGGGAGACUGCACAGGGAUCUGUAUCCACCACUGGGCCAGACUGAAAGAUGGCAGGGGAAAGGGGGAGGGACCUCUGCCCCCUUCUGGGCCAUAAGCAGCCAGCAUCUGGGCCAAGGGCUGGUUCUUAGAUUCACAAAAUGCCGCAUCGCUAGACAGGAAGAAGCUCCGAAGAUGUUGCCAAACUAGAGGAUUGACAAAGUACACAAGAACCCUCAAGGCACUUCCCUUCCCUUCCCCCACUUCACACCUCAGAAAAUAAUUAAGCAAAACAGCUUUCUGAUUCAGGGAUCAACAGCUUUGGUUUGUUAAUUUUUUUAAGAAAAAUUUUUUAAGAAAAUCCAGGAUAAACUGUCAUUUAGUUACCAACCAUGGUUUCAGCUCUGUGAAUUGAUCCAGGUGACUGACCUUGGUGGCUGUAAUGCCCCAGCUCCAACAAGCACAGCCUCUGUCAUCUGGAUCAGCUGCAGGAGAGGAGGAGGAGAAGGUGGUAAGGACAAGGCCUUGCUCCUCUACCUCUCCUGCCAGUUAUUACUGUUACCACAGUCAAAGAAAAAGAAUAGUUCUGGUGGUCCUUAUUGUUCUCAAGUUUCUUUUCAGCAGAAUGUGAUCGGGGGUUUUCUGUUUGCCCCAUCCAGGCAACUGACUUCUUGCCCGACUGCUUCAUGUAGGCAACCUCUUGCAGCAGUAUUCUAGUAGGCAAUACAACUAUAAGCACCAUAGGCUACCAAAAGUUAAGUUAGCAGCUGUGAGGUUUGCAUUAGACUAUGCUGCAUUUGGGGGAUUAGGUGUAUGGUGAGGGAGAUGGGGAGGAGAGGGAAACUUUGUGUGUCUGUAAAUGUGGACUAGCACAGUAUCACACUGCAACUUCUUGACUGAGGUGGGGGGCACACGACAGUGCUUUAUACAUCUCUAAGCACUAGGCAGUGGCUCCGGCCCAAAUAGAUUACUGAGCUGGAGGCUGACCACCAAAGUCUUGUCAAGUCUCUUUGGCUCCUGGUCUUACAUAACAGCAAUAUUGUACAUCAGAAAUGUCACUUCCCAGUGAAAUGGUGCUGGGUUGUGUUUUUAAAUCCAUAUAUCUCCAUGUUUGAUAAGUUUGAUAAAUUUUAUAUGAAGUUUUAAAAAAAUUUUUGUGUUACAACAGCAUUGUGGUUCAGGAAAUAUAAAGCUAUUAUUCCUAUUGCAACCAUAAUUCAAUUUCCCUCCUACAAAUAUAAUAGCUUAUAUUCCCUGCUUUUUUGAAGAACCUCACUAAUUCCUAUGUCUCCAGUCUGCCAAUUCACAAAAACUCUUCAACAAAUUAGUGUUCGUUUGAGAGUAUUGCUUUUUAGGUAGUACACAACAGGGCAUUUACCGCAGAGCAUCAUCAUGAAUGUUCAAAAUGAAGCCCCAUUUGUUGCAGCAAAUGAACAAAGGGUCAGUUUUGAUCAUGUUUGUUCUGUUGUUCGUUCUCAAGAUUUAGCAAUAUUCACUGGGCCUCUUUGGCAUUUUUAGGUAUUAUUCAGGUUUUCUCAAGUUAAAAAUCACGGAGAGAGCUAACCAGAUCUGCAUAUCCCCUGCACUGGAUGGGGAGGGGAAAAAAUUAGGCUUGUGCCUAUAGUAGGGUUUUUUUGAAUACUAAGGCAUGCAGGUAAGUAGCAGAUAACUGCUUUCAGACCCAAGUGCAAAUACAAGAGAAAAAUCUCUGGCCUCCCACAUUGUUGGAAAGAUUACUAGUUUUUUGUUGAGUUUUGCUUUAAAGUAUUCAAAAUCUGCAGUGGUUUAAGAGAUUGCUUUGGUGCAGAGGUACAUGAAAGUGAAAAAAUAACUUACUGGGUGUUAGUCAUGCUAGUGAAGGUGAACUGAUUAAGAGCACACUGGUCAGGCCCUCCCCUUCUCAGAACGUUUUGUGAGCUAUGGAAAAGUAGGCAAAGAAGAAGGAUAUUUUUCUGAAAACAGGAAGUUGGAGUGCAAAGGGUGGCUAUUAAAAAGUAAAUUAAGUGUGUUAUUUGUUCAUUAAAUUAUGAGUGCCCUACUGUAUUCCCUCCUCAAAGAGAAAUCGUUGCAUUUUUUGGAGGGGCCCAGGAAGGCACAGUUUCUUCAAGUGGUGUGAUGCUAUCAUGUAAUGAGAACCUGCCCGUAAAGGGGAAAACCUGCUUCAGAGAUUGCUCAGGAGCAGGUUGUUCCUUUUCAGGAGCUGCUUUUUGUUUUUAGAACUAUGGACUGUGGCAUCCGCUGUUGAGUGGGGCAGCAGUGUAACAUGGCAAGACCUCUCUUCAGUGGCCAUCUGAAGACUAUCAGUGUUUCAUGGCCAAGCCACCAGGGACUUUAGGUUAGACUGAAACCCUUAGAAGAGUUUUUCAUCAGUCACUGAUUGAUAUAAGAGAAUCAAUAUUUACCUCUGACCUCAGUUGAAUUUAUCAUGUCUUGAGUUUCAUUUGGUGUACAUCAUAAACCUUCCAAGACCAACUCAUCAAAGGGGUGAGUUAUGUCUCUUAAUCUUCUAGGAGAAGCUAGGAGAGGAUUGGAGAGAAAAGGAGGUAGAUGGAGAAAGGCUUUUUUGUUUAUUUUUAAUUUUGUUUUGAUUACUAGUAUCUUCCCUGCUUUUGUGAAAUGGGGUUUUCCAAAGAUGGUAUUUUCAGUAAAACUAAACAUUUUCUCUUUAUGGCAGUAGUUGAAAACUAGAAUGCAUUGGUUGGUAGUGCUCUGAUAGGAGGGAGAAUAAUAUGGUAAUAAAGUUGUGUAACUGCUGAAAGCUUCAGUCUCUGGCUAGAGCAACUUUGAUUAAGAAUUCCGUUACUUUCUUAUCACAGUAUAAAGGCCACAUUUUGAUUAGGCAACAAGUUUGAAGAUGUUAUUUAAGAAAUGCAUAGGUGGGAAAAGGAGGCUUGGCUUGAAAAGAAUUUAUGAGGUAUGGAAGAUGCAGUGGCCAUCAUAUCACCUUCAUUGGAACCUGCUUACCAAAUCCUCCUUUCAACUGAGUUGAAUCUAUUUACAAUUAUAAAAUGCAUUUAAUUUAUUUGUGCACCAUAUUGUAAAAAGACUAGCCUCUGCCACUUCAAAGAUUGGAAGAGAGUGAAAAGUGCUGAAAGAUGUAUUUUCCUGGGGCAUUCUGGGUUUGGAAAAACAGCUACAUUUUAAUCAAUGACUGAGUCAGGGAAGUGAAGGCAAAACCAUUAGCAAAGUACUUCCCCUGGAGCUAUGGUUUGGUUUGAAAGAAUUCUCCCAAGAUUUACCAUUGCUGCUAUUUUGUCUCUAAAAUAGAGGUUGGGGAGUUUGAGCUACACAGCAAUAAAUCACCAGUUCCUUUAAAAGGUUCUUUUUUCUUGGUCUCUCUUACAGACUCCUUUCUCUCUUUACCUGUUUUGUACUGCUUCCUCUAGAUACUAAGGUCUUUGGCAGGGGGAACCCCACAGAAUUGAACCUUCUGAUUUGCCUCUCUCUUGAAGUUAUGGUAAUUCAUUGAUUAGUAACAGGCAUGAUAACAUGGCUCUCUUAAAGUAGUUUCCAUAUAAUGUAAGGUAAAGGUAAGCCUUAAAACCUUUUAAAAAUAACCACCAAAGUAGAAAGGUAUGUGCCUGUAUAUGUGUAUAUAUGUAUGUAUAUACACACACACAUACCCCUUAUUGCUUUUGUGAGAUUAUGUACCUGAAGUUCUUGUGAAUUUACUGGAAGCAGACAGCAGAGUCAGUCCUGCUGGAAAAGUGUGUUUGGACUGUAAUACUAAGUACUUUUUUUUUCAAAGGCCACCAUCCCCUUUCUCUGGUAUUAGCAUU